CUUGUGUAACUUUAAGGUGCAUCGAUGACAUUGGUCAAUCUCUACGUAUUAUCAGUCGAAUAAAUGAUUUCAAGCUAAGACGAGAUUUUCGUGAAAAUAUUUAUAAAAUGUUUCUCACUAAAGUGAAAAGGGAGCACUGUAACGAGUUGGAGAAAAUAAUUUGUACUACUAGGCAAAAUAAAGAUGAUCAGAUCGAAAAGGGAGAUUCUGGUUCUCCACUUAUGUUUAAUUACCUGUACAACGAAUAUGCAACUGGAAUCAUGAGCUUUGACUACGAAGAUGAUCUUGCAGAACGUGUAUCACCAUCAGUCUUCACAUCGUUGGUUAAUCACACCAUAUUUAUACGAGAAAAUGCAGGCGUUGAUGUACAUUGUAAAAAUUAUAUAUUGCCAGAGUUUGAACAAUCAUAAAAUCAUGCGUUUUGAUUAAAUCAAAAUGAGCGUUUGAUUAUUAAUCAUGAUUUCUUUCAAAAAUGAUUGUUUUUUUGAUUGAAAUAAUCAACAAUCAUGGUUUGAUUAUGAUUUAAAUCACGAAAUAAAUCGAUUGUGUUAUGAUUAUUUGUCAACCAUAUAUCCGCGUGAACAAGCCCUCACUUUGACAAGUACUUCACUCGCAAGUUUGAUGUUUGACAGAUCAGCUGUUGAUGACAUUUUAACAUUCAAAAUAUACAUUUUUACAGCGCAUGUGUCUUUCACUCAUAAUUUAUUAUAAUUUUGUGUAAAAAAAAAUUAAAUAUGAUCAAAAUGUGCAACAAUAAUGAGAAAACAUUAACAACGAUAGCAAAAUGUGUACAUUUGAGUUCAGUAAAAAUCAUUGCAGUUCGUAAAUGAAGUGGAGGCUUGUUCACACGGAUAUAUGGUGCGCCAAUAAUCAUAGAUCAAUCGAUUUAUUUCUUGAUUUAAAUCAUAAUCAAGCCAUGAUUUUUGAUUAUUUUCAAUCAAGAAAAAAUAAUCAAUUCAUUAUUUCGAUUUAAAAUAAUCAUAAUCAUAAUCGAUGAAUCAUGAUUAUAAUCAUUUCAAGCUCUGUAUAUUUCCAUAAAUUUUGUAACUGAUAACUGUAAAAUAUAUCAUAUAAAAAACUUCUUUCGAAAGCAUUAAAAGUCACAAAUUAAAUUCUUUGAUUAGUGACAAACCGAAAUGAUUGGACUGGAAAAAAUCUGACACAGUCACAGUGUGUGCCAACGAAAAAAAACAAGCAAUUUAUAAAAAACAAUUCUCGAGUUGAGUUUUUAGCCUGCCAUGUUCCAUGUUCCUCUUGGAAUCGGAUUUACGUUUAUUUUUUUUCGUUCGUUCAUUCGCUUAUUUUCCUUUAUUUAGUUAUGUGGUGUUCGUUCGAUUCGUUCCUGGUCUCAAAAGACGAGAAUUUUUUUUAGAACGGAAUCCAUAAAUUGCCUGAAUUGUGAGAGAAAGUCACAUCUUCCGAUGGACAAUACUUUGAAUAAAAAAGAUUGUAAAGUUUUUCACAGUAAAGCUACAAAUUUUGAAAAAAAACGGUCUUUUUUAAGUUGCACACCCAAUAAAAGAGCACUGACUAUCUUAAUUCUCAUGGAGUCAGUAUUACGGUGGGCGGUAGUCCACCAAGUGACGCAAUACCCGAAAUUCAUAUGAAAAUAUGAAUUUUUGGGAAAUUCUAUAUAUACGCUAAAGAAGUGAAAAAUGAGAAUAUUGGCGAAAAGCUACCAAAGCUUUUUUUAUUGAAUUUGGUUGGAAAUUGGGCGAGAUAUUGCCAUAUUUUUAAAAAAAUCCGUAAAUGUCAUUAUUGUCGGUAUCCGUCUUUAGACACACUUAGGCAAUAUUAGACAAACUUAGGCACGCUUAGGCGUCGUUUUUCAUUAAUGUUCACUUUGUCGAUUUUCGUCGUUUUUAUCGACUAUUGUUGCCUACUAUUGCCUAAGUAUGCUUUUCGGCGUUUUUGCCAGCUAUAUAAUUAUAUAGCAAAUACCUCAGAAAACUCGUUUCGAAAAGUUACGUGGGGCACUAUUUAUAUUUAGGGAAUUGGCAAAGUGUCAAUAAUGUCAAUAGCUAAAAUCUAACAAUGCCAAAAUAAAGUUUGGCAUUUUUUAGCGUAAACGUACUCAGUACGUUUUGAUGUACAGUCUACAUGGAAUAUCUUUACCGGAUUGAUUAUUGGUUGGCAUCACUUCAUUUCAUGCGUAUUACUCCAAUACAUAUAGACGCCGAGCAGCUACAUAGAUAUAAAAUGAACGCGGACGCCUUGAUUGAUGAUGAGGAACUUGUUUCCCUUUAUUCCAACCCAAUGAUUUCUCCAACUAUGUAUCCAGAAAGGAUGAACUUUAAAAGAUUCGAAUAUCGAACUAAUGAUUAUGUUCAUUUGAAUUCUGAUUUUAAAAAAAUAUUGAUACAUUGUUCACUACAUUAUAUAUCCAUAUUGCAAAAAAUUUACGGUGAAGGUUUUUUAAGUCAUAUACCAAAUGUAUAAUCUUUUAAGAACAUUACAUGUUAUUCAGAAAUAUGAAACAAAACAAUCAAUAAAUAUCAAUAGAAUUCCCACUAAAUGUUUUAAAGCAAUGACUGGUAACAGUAGAAAAGCUAGAUAUAAAUGUGAAAAUUCAUUUAUUUACAUUAAAAAUGUUCGAGUUAUUGAUAUUUCUUAUGAAACGAGAAUUGUAGACAGAAUGCAAAUAUGCAAACCUAAACAUAAACCACACACCUUACGGCAACUAGCUGCAGAGAAAUUUCUCAAUUCAGAAAAAACAUUAAUAUAUAUAUCCAUAUUAGAUAUGAUAGAAGAAAAUUUUAAAGACUUACUUUUCAGUAACACUUGUCACGAAACAUUUAGAUUUUAUGAUGUUCUAUUAAUCAAGUUUUUAUUCCAGUAUUUUUUAAAAAGAAAUGAUAAUGUUUCACCAAAAUUCAGAGUAGUUUGCAAAUGCAUUUUUGGACUCAAAAACAGAAAUCAUAUUCAAUGUGGUUAUAAAAUAUCUGAAGACACAUGUGUUCUAUGUAAUGCAACUGAGACCGAUGUUAUGAAACAAUUUUUGUGGGAAUAUCAUAGUAAUAUUUGUAUUUUGCGAUGAUUAAUCAUAUUCAUCAAUUUUUUUUUUUUUAACUAAUGGUGUUGGGUUCAUAAAAUAACAAAUAUAUUUUUUCUUUCAACAUGAUUAAUAAAAAUUUAUUAUUAUCAAUCAUAUAAAAUUAAUCUGUUGUUGUUGUCAUUUAUUCAUUCACAAAUUUACAUUUUGAUUUGACUUCACAUGUGAUUUCUACAAUCUUGUAUCAUAUGCAACUAUGGUGUCUUAUGAUCUUUUGUUUACAUUUUGAAAGCUCCGUAGACUUAUUUUCUUCACACACUCAAAACGUACCCAUCAACAACAACAAAAUACAUAGCGGAUAGAGGAGAGACAAAAAUGCAAAACCACUCGCACGCUGACCAUAAGAAAUACACGUCUAAGCACAAACGUUCAUUUUAUUGUUUCGUUGUUUCCCCUCCAAACCAGUUUUCUGAUAAUUUAAAGUAAAGAACGUUGUAGCUCAGCGGUUAGAGCAUUGGUCAUUGGUCAUUGGUUUUUGGAUUGCAGUAGCUUCGAGUUCGAUUCCCACUAUCAUAAGAUUUUUUUCUCGUCAUUUCAAUAUUUCGAAUACUCACCAACAAUUCUAUUUCUAUUGCUCAUAUGAGAGUGAGAGUGAGAGAGAGAGAGACGACGCACUCAACCGUUGCCCAUAAGAAAUAUACACUAAGCAGAGACGUUGCGCGAAAGAGGUUAAAGGAGAAAUGCAAAACCAGUUUUUGCAGUGUGUUUAUGU